UUUUCAUCCGUUCUAAAUGGCCUUUAACGAUUAGUAAAAAUGAUAAAUUCCUGAUAUUUAGCGGGCAUCGCGGGACUUGUUAAAUCACUGUUGUUGAACUUACAUCUUCGGAAAGUUAGAAUAACUUGAAAAUAGUCUAAAAUUUUAAUGAACGACUUUAAUAACAAUCAAAAUUCAUUCCAGUGAUUCAUUUGUCUUGAUCAAAAAAAUCGUCGAAGUUUUGAUUAAUCCACUAAUAAAGAAUGUCACUAUUUAAAGUUUUAUUUAUAAUUGUAAUUAUGAUUACUUGUGUAUUGGCACGAAGUUUGCAACAGAAUAAUUUCUCAAACGAAUCAACGGAUUUCAUCAAAAUUGAGUCACCGUCAUUAGAGAACCUCCCAAAUAAAUUCAAAAUUCCGCUGGCAAGAACAAAAAGAUCUACUCGGAGAAGAGAAAAGAAUCGUUCAGUUUUGAGAUGUUACUUUAACGCCAUAACAUGUUUUUGAUAGACAUCUAAGAAAAUUAUUUUUCAACUGUUAAAAUUAGGUAGUUUUUUCAAAUUUAUUAUUUUUAUAUAUUAAAUUAUGAUCUUCAAUCACCAGUAUUAUGAAUAUCAACUACUAUUGAAUCAAAUAUUGAAUAUGAAGUCAAAUAAAUCUCUUUUCAAUUUUA
rnacentral:lncRNA from 1 species